AAAAAAGCAGGGUCUUGUUGCCUCUUGUGAACUGGGCUCUCGUAAACUUCAGGAAAAUCACUUCCAUUGUUAUUGGGUGAACCUCUGUUUUUCUGUUUGUGGCUGAAGGUUCAGUAAAUGAUGAUACAUUU